CAUUCUAUACAAAGUGUCUGAAAUUAUUUUUUGAGUUGAACGGGCUUUGAUUUUUAUACUUUGAAUAUCAAGUUUCUCUGGAAUAUCGACGGAAUAUUGUACCUAUCUACGUCACGAGGUAAACAAAUCCUCAAAAUGCGACCUUCUGCUUCUUUUCUCCACGCUCUAAGCCAUUUUCCCCAUAACUUCAUUCUCAAAACAAAAUCCUACCUGCACGAUUCCGAUAAAAACGGUGGCCAGCGUCGGCGAGAUGGUGCUUAAGAGAGGAGGCUCAUGCUGCCGUGCUAAGGAAAAACGCCGUAUGAGCAUUCGCAUGUUGCCAAAUUUCCUCUUAGAAAAUAUUCAUUUUUGAAGAAAGUUUUAUAUAUUUUCCUUUGAAAUUUUCACAGACAUUUAGAUCAAAUUGCAGCCGAAAGUCUCUGAAAAAUCGGAAGAAAUGUGGAUAAAUAAUUCCGAAAAUUUUGAUUCAUCAAAGGAAUUUUGGCAACGCCUAAAGGCUCAUACGGCGUUUUUUCUUAAGCACUACAGCAUGGCGAUGAUGAUUCCUCGGAAGGAGGCGGCGUCGGAGAUGAAGUCGGAGUAGGUGACCUCCACGUCGCGGCCCUCCUGGACGACGGCCUCCAUGACUCGGAUCUCGGCGUAUAUAUCGUAGUGCCGCCGCCCACGCAGCCACUGCAGGGACGCCGCCGCCUCCUGGGUCGGGACAAACCAUCGUCAGGUACACCGGGGACUCCGGCAUCCAGAGGAACAGGGCGAAGAAUACUAGCACGACGAUGGAACAGCCCAGGUUUAUCCAUAGGGCGUCCUGCAGGAUACCUGAAAACCGAGGGAGAUGUUAAGUGGAUUUUUUGCCAUGCUGCGUGCUGGGCAGGGUAGCAGAACGUAAGAAAGAAAUGAAAGAUUGGAUAUUUCAGUGAAAUAUUCCAUGAAAUUUCACGAGGCUGUGAAAUAUUUCAUAUUUUUCAGGGACGAGAGUAUGCAACCCGCACUCGAACACACAAAAAUAGACACUGAAAAAAAGAUUGGUAGAAUUUACCAUUCCUUCACGCUGUAUUUCACACAGCGAAGAAUGGUUUCCUUUUCCAGUAUAUAGUAACGUUUACCUUUCUUCUGGCAGAAAUGACUCUAAAUUUACGCUGUAUGAAAUACAGCGUGAAGGAAUGGUAAAUUCUACCAAUUUUUUUUUCAGUCAGGAAAGUCACAAUUUUACAGUUUGCGAAACAUGAAAAGCAACCGGUAUUUUUCAUAUCUUUCGAAAAUGUCUGAAUUUCAUGCAAUAUUUCACGUGAAAUGUCAAGAU
rnacentral:lncRNA from 1 species